CAGUAGCCGCGGGAAUACGUAGGGUGCAAGCGUUAAUCGGAAAUACUGGGCGUAAAGCGUGCGCAGGCGGCUAUGCAAGACAGAUGUGAAAUCCCCGGGCUCAACCUGGGAACUGCAUUUGUGACUGCAUGGCUAGAGUACGGUAGAGGGGGAUGGAAUUCCGCGUGUAGCAGUGAAAUGCGUAGAUAUGCGGAGGAACACCGAUGGCGAAGGCAAUCCCCUGGACCUGUACUGACGCUCAUGCACGAAAGCGUGGGGAGCAAACAGGAUUAGAUACCCCCAGUAGUCCCUGUCUCUUAUA
rnacentral:rRNA from 1 species